AUAUACGAGGUGUGAUCAGCAAAUAGCUGUGGGUGAGAUUCAGCAGACACUUCUACAGAAGUGACCCCCACCCAAACCCAUAAAGUUCUUCUUACCAUUCAUUGUAACCACAACUAUGGACUGUCCUGCGAUGACACUGGACGAUACUCGUAGACAACCGCAUAUUGUCUCUGGCAUCUCCAAAGGUACAAGACGCUCUUGAAAAAAACAAAAAACACAUGGAUAAGCAUUAAAAAAUAACAUUUAUUUACUGGCAACUAUUUUAAACAAGAUGUACUUGACUGCUUCAUCGACCUAUCAGUUUUUCAGUCAAGUCUAAGAAUGUGACUUUUAAAAACUACAACUUACCACACUGGGUUAGAACCCUCUCCACAACACAAGUUGUGGGAGGCAAUGGAUGAAAGAAUGCAUGUGUCAUCGAAUCCCUGUUGUGGAACACUUGACCUCGGUGGACCCUGACAUCACACUGGCCACAGAGGAAUGGGUGUGGUCGAGGACAGUCCAUAGUUGUGGUUACAAUGAAUGGGCGAUAUGAUCUCAGAUUGCCUCAGAUUAGAUGCAAAGCAUGUGAAGCCACUUGGAGUCCUGGAGUGGAUGACCUGAUCCGUAAUGACUACUGGCCUGCCACUUCUCACUAUUCAACUGUGUAUGCAACAGAUGUCCUUUUUUUCUUUUUGAAGAGCUGAAGAUGGCAGCACCAGGGAUGUCUAGCCAAGCAUUUCUUAGAAUGCUGGAUCAACGCACUGUUCGAUUUGGCCGUGUAAGUAUUUGUGGUAAUAAUUGCGUAACUCCAUAAAUAAUACUAUGAGGGCAUGAUGAUGAUGAUAGUACACAUGAACAUUUGCACUGUUUAGGAAAAAAGUUGUGUUCAAUUUAGACCCUUUAUAAACAACCAUAAACUCAUGUUCUCUCAUCAGCAGUUUGCACUGAGACAUUUCCACAGGUAAUUCUGAAGAUCUCAACUUCUACUCCAUUGGCUACAGACUUUGACAUCUUCUCCCCAAUAUCAUUUCCUGAUCCCAGAAGUGUUCCCUUGGAUUAAUGGCCCAAACACUGCACAGGCUUACUUCUAAACAAUAUUGUAGCUGUUGUAGCCCUCUUUGUGUAAAGAUUUAAACUGAAUGUCAAACAAUAUCCUGUAUUUUUAAUGGCCAGGUCCCCCAAAUACACCAGUGUAUAGUGUAUGAGUGAAGUCUACACAUUGUUUAUUUCCUUUGAUAUGUAUUCUAAGGAGUGGUUACGAAGUUAGUACAAACA
ensembl:lncRNA